rnacentral:lncRNA from 1 species
ACAGGAUCUCAUGUUAUUUAGGCUUGUCUGGGACUCCUGGCCUCAAGCAAUCCUCCUGCCUCGGCCUACCGAAGUGCUGGGAUUACAGGCAUGAGCCACUGCACCCGGCCACCAGCAUUUGUUAAAGUCUCACCACGGAUCAGGCUCUCAUCUAAAAAACUUGAAGUUGUCAUUCUGUGUCCUUACAGUAACCCCUCAAGUUAAUAUCACAGGUUAAAGACGAAGAAUAAGGGGGAUCCCUGCCUUGAUGGACAAGGAGAAAAGCAGGGCCCUGAUGAGGGAGCCCCGCACUGCCAGGAUGGAGCAGGAGUGUCAAAGGAAGCCUUCCAACAGCGGUGGCACAGGCGCCAAGGCAACAAGGAAGGGUGGGAGCUCUGCAAGGCACCGGGCACUCCAGGCAGAAGGACCUGUGUGGGGAAAAGCAAGGCAGCUGGAAAAAGCAAGCGGAGCUGCGAAGGCGCCAAGAACACAGUGAGAAGGUAGCCAGGAAGAGAGCCCUCACCAGGAACAUAAUCUGCCGGCACUUUGAUCUUGGACUUCUAGCUUCCAGAACUAGGAGCAAUAAAUGUCUGUUGUUUAAGCCACCCACCCUGUGGUGUCUUGUUAAGCCAGGCCAAGCUGACUACAACAGAAGGGUCGUUCUGGAAUCAGAUAGAACUGAAGCCCUGACUCUGCCACCUCCCAGCUUGGGGGGAAUCGUUGAUGUCUUAGUCACAGUUCCUCUUCUGCAAAAUGAGCACAAGUGCCAGAGCCCUCCAGGUCACACAUGCAAACUUCCAGGAGCCAUGUGGGUCUGUCAGGGAGCUCCAUGAAGGCCCACAGCUUCAUUUAUGAUCACCAUCACCCUCUCAGGGGUGCUUGGCAUGGGGUCCUCAGAGGGCAGAUGGCCUUCUGGGUUUAAUCUUGUCAUCUCAACAGUUCAGGGGCCCUCGCAGACCAGACAUAUUUUGCCUGUGGUCAAGGAAUCCAGGCUGGGCAGAGUCUUCCAUCUUGGAGGCGACUGGAAUUCUGACAGCCAAGCAUGGAAGCCACAGUCAUCUCUCAGAGGAUGACCACCUGUGUCUUUGAGGAAUAAGAAGGGGGA